rnacentral:rRNA from 1 species
GGAAUAUUGGGCAAUGGGCGCAAGCCUGACCCAGCAACGCCGCGUGAGGGAAGAAGGUCUUCGGAUUGUAAACCUCUGUCCUUGGUGACGAAGGAAGUGACGGUAGCCAAGGAGGAAGCCCCGGCUAACUACGUGCCAGCAGCCGCGGUAAUACGUAGGGGGCGAGCGUUGUCCGGAAUUACUGGGCGUAAAGGGUGCGUAGGCGGUACUUUAAGUUGGAUGUGAAAUACCCGGGCUUAACUUGGGGGGUGCAUCCAAUACUGGAGAACUAGAGUGCAGGAGAGGGAAGCGGAAUUCCUAGUGUAGCGGUGAAAUGCGUAGAUAUUAGGAGGAACACCAGUGGCGAAGGCGGCUUUCUGGACUGUAACUGACGCUGAGGCACGAAAGCGUGGGGAGCAAACA